AUCCUGGCUCAGAUUGAACGCUGGCGGCAUGCCUUACACAUGCAAGUCGAACGGUAGAGUAGCAAUACUUGAGAGUGGCGAACGGGUGAGUAAUAUAUCGGAACGUGCCCAGUCGUGGGGGAUAACGUAGAGAAAUUUACGCUAAUACCGCAUACGAUCUACGGAUGAAAGCGGGGGAUCGCAAGACCUCGCGCGAUUGGAGCGGCCGAUAUCAGAUUAGGUAGUUGGUGAGGUAAAGGCUCACCAAGCCGACGAUCUGUAGCUGGUCUGAGAGGACGACCAGCCACACUGGGACUGAGACACGGCCCAGACUCCUACGGGAGGCAGCAGUGGGGAAUUUUAGACAAUGGGCGCAAGCCUGAUCCAGCAAUGCCGCGUGCAGGAUGAAGGCCUUCGGGUUGUAAACUGCUUUUGUACGGAACGAAACGGUGAGCUCUAAUACAGUUUGCUAAUGACGGUACCGUAAGAAUAAGCACCGGCUAACUACGUG
rnacentral:rRNA from 1 species